rnacentral:rRNA from 1 species
UGGGGAAUCUUGCGCAAUGGGGGAAACCUUGACGCAGCAACGCCGCGUGGGUGAUGAAGGCCUUCGGGUCGUAAAGCCCUGUCAGGUGGGAAGAAACAUGUCGGUGCUAAUAUCACCGAUGUUUGACGGUACCGCCGGAGGAAGCACCGGCUAACUCCGUGCCAGCAGCCGCGGUAAUACGGAGGGUGCAAGCGUUGUUCGGAAUUACUGGGCGUAAAGCGCGUGUAGGCGGUCGGGCAAGUCAGAUGUGAAAGCCUUCCGCUUAACGGAAGAAGUGCAUUUGAAACUACCCGGCUGGAGUACGGGAGAGGAGAGUGGAAUUCCCGGUGUAGAGGUGAAAUUCGUAGAUAUCGGGAGGAACACCAGUGGCGAAGGCGGCUCUCUGGUCCGAUACUGACGCUGAGACGCGAAAGCGUGGGGAGCAAACAGGAUUAGAUACCCUGGUAGUCCACGCCGUAAACGAUGGGCACUAGGUGUAGGAGGUAUUGACCCCUUCUGUGCCGAAGUUAACGCAUUAAGUGCCCCGCCUGGGGAGUACGGCCGCAAGGCUA